CUCUCAUGUGUGUGCAGUAGAGCUACAGCUAGCAGUCGGUUAACUUAAUUUAGCACAAAAACUGGACACAGGGGGAAACAGUUAGCUUGGCUCUGUCCAAAAGUAA